ACGCGAAGAACCUUACCUACUCUUGACAUCCAGAGAACUUUCCAGAGAUGGAUUGGUGCCUUCGGGAACUCUGAGACAGGUGCUGCAUGGCUGUCGUCAGCUCGUGUUGUGAAAUGUUGGGUUAAGUCCCGCAACGAGCGCAACCCUUAUCCUUGUUUGCCAGCGAGUAAUGUCGGGAACUCCAGGGAGACUGCCGGUGAUAAACCGGAGGAAGGUGGGGACGACGUCAAGUCAUCAUGGCCCUUACGAGUAGGGCUACACACGUGCUACAAUGGCGCAUACAGAGGGCGGCCAACUUGCGAAAGUGAGCGAAUCCCAAAAAGUGCGUCGUAGUCCGGAUUGGAGUCUGCAACUCGACUCCAUGAAGUCGGAAUCGCUAGUAAUC
rnacentral:rRNA from 1 species